GAUGAACGUUGGCGGUGUGCCUAAUACAUGCAAGUCGAACGGAGUUAGUAGCAAUACUGGCUCAGUGGCGAACGGGUGAGUAACGCGUUGGUGAUCUGCCUUGAAGUGUGGAAUAACGUUUCGAAAGGAACGCUAAUACCGCAUGUGCUCUCGAUUUUCAGAAAGUUGAGAGUAAAGGAUUUAUUCGCUUCAAGAGGAGCCUGCGUCCCAUCAGCUGGUUGGUAGGGUAACGGCCUACCAAGGCUAUGACGGGUAGGGGACCUGAGAGGGUGGCCCCCCACAAUGGAACUGAAACACGGUCCAUACACCUACGGGUGGCAGCAGUAGGGAAUAUUAGAAAUGGACGAAAGUCUGAUCUAGCAACACCGCGUGUGCGAAGAAGGCCUUCGGGUCGUAAAGCACUUUUUGGAAGGAAUAGGAAGGAAUGUACUUCCAGAAUAAGUCUCGGCUAACUACGUGCCAGCAGCCGCG
rnacentral:rRNA from 1 species